UAUAUGACCAUAUAGCUAAGAAUUUUCAUUGGCAACUAGAAUAGUGUCAGUUGUAUGACUCCUUUAACUCUUGCUAUUACCAGCAAUACCGUUCGGAAGAACUAACUUGGACUGGGUACGGGCUAUGUCUCAGGGCCCCGUGCUGGACACUUGGGCACAAUUCAUCUCAUCUCACCGAGCUCCGGAGUCCUCAGCCCUGUGUGCUGAGUGUUUUAGGAGACGUCACCCAGUUUCAACUACCUCCCUUCUUCUGCUCUGAGCUCCAAAGCAAGCAAGCGAGUGGCUUGGAAGCCUCGCCGGCUGCCUUUCUGGGGCUAGGAAUCAACUUCGGCUCUGCUCUACCGUUUCCCAAAUUCCCGUGAGCGUCUGGGCUUUAGGAAAAGCUACCAGACGAGCCCCAGCUGAGUGAAUUCGGGUUUGCUCCGAGUGGAAACUUUUGGACGUAGAACUAAGUACUGGAAUGUGUUUCCAAGGUCGGGGUGAUUAAAUGCUCGUUUGUCUGACAGAAGACUGGAGGCCAGAGAGCUGUCUUAGCGCUAUAUAUACACACAGGCGCCCUAUUAACGGGAUAGCAACAACAUACCCUGUUUAUCCAGUAGACAGGUGCGUCUUAGGACUUGAGCAGGUUUAAAUUUACCAAGUCGAUCCCGGAUAAAUAUAAGAUCUGUGCGUUUUACAGAACAGAAACUGGACUCCGGCGGGCGGGCCGGGGGCUGAAUGCGGGAAGGAACCUUGGCUCAUCUCACAUGGCCCUGAGCCCUGUCUCUCCAACCUGUCCUGGGACCCUGCGGCAGCUGAGGGCCAAGCUAUGUGGCCCAAGUCCCCGGGGAAUGUGGGCAAUGUGGGCUGGGCAAGUGGGAAUGUCGGGAAUGAGUCCACAGUCCAGGGUUCAGAUCUCACGGUUGGGCUGCGCCCUGCCCUGACAUCCUCCCUUAAAGAUGAGAGCUCCGCGCUCCGGGGAGCUCUGAAUCCUGCCCCUGAAUCAUAUUGCUUUUCUGAGCCCGUGUGUCUUAUUAU